UUACGGUCACAUCACAUUGAAACACCGAUUCUCGUACGAUCAGCAAAGUUAAGCUACGUCGAGUCUGGUCAGAACCUAGAUGAGUGACCACUCAGAAAUAACAGGUGCUGCCUG